AUGACCCGGAUAUACGAGAUAAGGCACAAGUGGGCGAAGCCAUAUUUCAAAGGUGUUUUCUGUGCAAAGAUGACGAGCACGCGGAGGAGUGAGAGCGCGAACCACAUGCUGAAGAACUACGUACCACCCGGGUGCCCAAUGCAUUUAUUCGUGAAGAAAUACAUGAGACUUCAGUUCGACCGUGAGGCAGAAGAGAAUUACGAGGAGAAGAGAACCAGAAUUGUAAGGUCCUUGACUUAA
rnacentral:rRNA from 1 species